CCUACGGGAGGCAGCAGUGGGGAAUAUUGGACAAUGGGCGAAAGCCUGAUCCAGCAAUGCCGCGUGAGUGAUGAAGGCCUUAGGGUUGUAAAGCUCUUUUACCAGGGAUGAUAAUGACAGUACCUGGAGAAUAAGCUCCGGCUAACUCCGUGCCAGCAGCCGCGGUAAUACGGAGGGAGCUAGCGUUGUUCGGAAUUACUGGGCGUAAAGCGUACGUAGGCGGUUAUUCAAGUCAGAGGUGAAAGCCUGGAGCUCAACUCCAGAACUGCCUUUGAAACUAGAUAGCUAGAAUCUUGGAGAGGUGAGUGGAAUUCCGAGUGUAGAGGUGAAAUUCGUAGAUAUUCGGAAGAACACCAGUGGCGAAGGCGACUCACUGGACAAGUAUUGACGCUGAGGUACGAAAGCGUGGGGAGCAAACAGGAUUAGAUACCCUGGUAGUCCCGACGACCGUAACGAUAGAUAACUAGACUGUUCGGGUCGUCUACGACGCGUUGUAGUGGCGGCGAGACGUAACGAC
rnacentral:rRNA from 1 species